GGAAAACUGCUCAGCAUUCACAACACUCUCACGUCUCUCGGCAGUUCUCAGAACUCCUCUCUCCCUUUGGAUUAGCACGCACAGAGAGAACCGCCCCCUGCAGUUGGCUACUCCAAGGCUUCCAUUCACCUCCUAUCUCUGGCUAGAUCCUCCCAUUCAAUUUCGCACUCUCUGCUUCCCUCUCGGACGUGAGAAUAAAUCCAGGCGGACAGCCCCAUCUUCCCUCUCUGGAUCGUGUGAGAAGCCCAGUUCGCCCUUAGCCGACCGACCUGAGACGCCGUCGCCUUCUAUUCA